rnacentral:rRNA from 1 species
UACGAAGGGGGCUAGCGUUGCUCGGAAUCACUGGGCGUAAAGCGCACGUAGGCGGCUUUCUAAGUCAGGGGUGAAAUCCUGGAGCUCAACUCCAGAACUGCCUUUGAUACUGGAGAGCUUGAGUCCGGGAGAGGUGAGUGGAACUCCGAGUGUAGAGGUGAAAUUCGUAGAUAUUCGGAAGAAACACCAGUGGCGAAGGCGGCUCACUGCCCGGUACUGACGCUGAUGUGCGAAAGCGUGGGGAGCAAACAGGG